GUACACGCUGUGACUAGCAUAUCAAUAAGCGGAGGAAAAGAAACUAACAAGGAUUCCCCUAGUAACGGCGAGUGAAGCGGGAAGAGCUCAAAUUUGAAAUCUUAUAAGGGUUUCCCUUUACGAAUUGUAGUUUAAAGAAGUGUUUUCCGUUGAGGUUUUGGUAAAAGUUCUUUGGAAUAGGACAUCAUAGAGGGUGAGAAUCCCGUAUUUGACCUUUACUUUCAACUUUGUGAUACACUUUCAAAGAGUCGGAUUGUUUGGGAAUGCAGUCCAAAAUGGGUGGUAAAUUUCAUCUAAAGCUAAAUAUUGGCGAGAGACCGAUAGCGAACAAGUACCGUGAGGGAAAGAUGAAAAGAACUUUGAAAAGAGAGUUAAACAGUACGUGAAAUUGUCAAAAGGGAAGCGUUUGACACCAGUGUUGUUUUUCUGAAAAUCAAUUAAAGAACUGUAUUAUGCUAAGUUGUUUAGACUUUAUCAGCUAACUGUUUAGUUUUGAGCUUUUCUUUAAUGCACUUUUCAGUUAACAAGUCAACAUCAAUUUCUUUUGCUGUAAAAAAGCUUGAGGAAGGUGGCUUGAGAUUCGUCUUAAGUGUUUAUAGCCUCUUGCCUAUGCAGUCGGAGAGAUUGAGGUCUGCAGCGUAGAUCCUUCGGGGCUAAAUGCAUUUGUGCUAAGUUAUAGCAUUUUAUAGACAACUUGUUGACUAUGAUUUGUCUUGUAGCUUACUCGCUUAUGUUAUUUUACCUACGCUUAGGAUGUUGAAGAUGUAGCACAUCAU
rnacentral:rRNA from 1 species